CCUUCGAUAGCUCAGUUGGUAGAGCGGAGGACUGUAGUGGUUACAUCAGGCAUCCUUAGGUCGCUGGUUCAAAUUCGGCUCGAAGGA
rfam:Larimichthys crocea isolate SSNF unplaced genomic scaffold scaffold707, whole genome shotgun sequence.